AUAUUUGCCAAAAGUGAUGCUUCCGCCAUCCACAAGUGCAUAAUAACGAUCAGGAAUAGAAAGUCGCAGGCGCAUGACGGAGGUGGAAAGGGGGGUGGGAGUGGGGAUGAUGCAAACGCGAGUGUUAUAUAAAACGUAUAGCGCACAGUUGGAACCAGCCGGCAUGGCCGCGAUGAUCCUUUUCUUUCGUUUUCCGUCAUUUAUAAUCUCUUCUCCUCUUCUCUGCAGUCCCGCUUUCCUCCAUUGUGAACUUUUGACCUCCGGAUGCCUGCUUCCCACGAUAUCCUCAGGCACCAUCCUCACAGGAAGUGACAUCAAUGGGACUUAAAAAGUAAAAAAAAAAAAAAAAAAACAGUCGCAGGACGGCGUGUGUUGGAUGUCCAGAGCUGGAUUGUUGAUGUUGUUUUGGAUGCUGGAUGAAGGAUGACGCGGAGUGGAGCAGCUGGAUGAACACACGCACUGGAAACUGAGGGAGGUACACACUCAUAUAAUGGAAUGAUCCCUUCCUCGAUGUGCCCGUCAACCACCCGGUGCUGCUGCUGUCAGAGCCUGAGCGCAAAGAGAACCGACCGCAGUUUAAAUUUAUCGGGCCACCGGUCAUCUCGCUUUGUUCCUCGGUCACGCCGUGCAGGAUCAUCUGUGGCUGAAGCAUGAACAUUUGGCCGCUAGAGGGCGCGCCAGAGUACAUCUCUCCAGGCUGCCAGCUUACUGUACAAAUGCUUGAAGAGUGGAAAAGCGAGAUCCAACAUUGUCAGCCUCCACAGAGCGGCAUUACAUAAUCACACUCUGAAGAUGGGGAAGCAAGACAGGAAGGAGUAGACUGAACCGCGCUCGGGAAACAACGAUUUGCACAUUAAGGAGAAGCUAUCCAGCCACACGCUUCCUGCUUAGAGAGACUAUUGAUUGCUGUGGACAGAUGCAGAUGGAUCGUCCAUCAUCAGCAGUUAAAAUCUAACGUGUCCUUUCAAUAGAAGCCUUCCUAAUGCAAUACUUGCCAAAACCCGAGGGUGAAAAAUGAUUGUUUGCGUGUCGGCUAAUACAAAGGGACAGAAAUCGAUCAGAGAAGCAGAUAUAACCGCAUCGACAAUCUGCUGCAGCAAAAUUGUGCAACAAUGAAUUUUAAAUUAUUGUUUGGUUUGCAUUAGGACUGAUGAAUUGUUGAUUACUUGUGUGACUGCAACAACACAGCUUUUUUUUUAUUGUGCUAUUUGUCAUACACUAAAUUCCAGGGAUUAUGAUUCUGCCUUUAUAGAUCACCAUAAUGGAUUUGAACUAGAACACGCAGCAUGUGAUUGAAGGAAAGACUUUUAUCAUUGCAGGGAUGAUAAAAGAUUUUCUUUGCAGUUGAUUAUAAAUGAAAAGAAAGUCCGGUUCAUGUCGUUAAUAUUUUUCCAACACAGUGCAACUAUUUUGUUCCACGGAGCAGUCUCAUGCAAACACAUCUUUGGAUUAGGAAUACCCACCCAUCAUUAGGCCAUCCUAUAGGUCAUUUUAGUCAGGCUCCCAAAGAUUCACCAUUCCGAUUUUUUACUGUUCCUGUGAGGUAUCUGUCAAACAUGUCAACUCCCAUGAUCCUUGCUACAAUCUGUACCAAAAUUUAAUUUGCAUGUGUACUAAAUAAUAAUGUUGACAUUUUGCAAAAGAAAAAUCUUUUUUACAGCACUUGAACAAUAAUUGGAGAAAAUACCCUCCUUCCUCAAUUAGCCAAAGCUAGCAAGGCUAACCCCAUUGACAACUAGCUGUUUUUUGUGCUAUAAGACCUGUGUAGUUUUAUGAAGACUGUGUCCUCUUGUUUGCUGUGCCUUCU